rnacentral:misc_RNA from 1 species
UACGGAGGGUGCAAGCGUUAAUCGGAAUUACUGGGCGUAAAGCGCACGCAGGCGGCUUGUUAAGCCAGAUGUGAAAGCCCCGGGCUCAACCUGGGAGGGUCAUUUGGAACUGGCAAGCUAGAGUCUUGGAGAGGGGAGUGGAAUUCCAGGUGUAGCGGUGAAAUGCGUAGAGAUCUGGAGGAACAUCAGUGGCGAAGGCGGCUCCCUGGCCAAAGACUGACGCUCAUGUGCGAAAGUGUGGGUAGCGAACAGG